UACGAAGGUCCCAAGCGUUGUUCGGAUUUACUGGGCGUAAAGCGUGCGUAGGCGGCGAGGUAAGUCAGAUGUGAAAUCCCGGGGCUCAACCCCGGAACUGCAUCCGAUACUGCCCUGCUAGAGUAAUGGAGGGGCAUCUGGAAUUCAUGGUGUAGCAGUGAAAUGCGUAGAUAUCAUGAGGAACACUAGUGGCGAAGGCGAGAUGCUGGACAUUUACUGACGCUGAGGUACGAAGGCCAGGGUAGCGAAAAGG
rnacentral:rRNA from 1 species